rnacentral:SRP_RNA from 1 species
GCCGGGUGUGGUGGCGCGCGCCUGUAAUCCAAGCUACCGGGAGGCUGAGGCUGGAGGAUUGUUUGAGCUCAGGAGCUCUGAGCUGCAGCGGACUAUGCCGAUCGGGUGUCCGCGCUAAGUUCGGUAUCGAUAUGGUGCUCCUGGGGGAGCUCGGGACCACCAGGUCGUCUAAGGAGGGGUGCACCGGCCCAGGUCGGAGACGGAGCAGGUCAAAGCCCCCGUGCCGCUCAGUAGUGGGAUCGCGCCUGUGAAUAGACGCUGUAGUGCAGCCUGAGUAAUACAGCGGGACCCAGUCUUU